CUAAGCUGGAGAUCACAGGCAGAAACACUCCUUUCUUUCCUGUCAAGUGGGAACCAGUCCUUGGCUGCCUUGUCUCCCCACCUCUUCCUGUUUCUGAGCUGGACUAAGGAGAUGUAAUAAAGCACCUGCUCCAGAUGUCACUAUAGGGGCAGCACUUCGUCUCCCUGCUGCUGUUGAUUUUCCAACGUGACGUCAGAUGUCUACUCUAGUCCAACUCCUGUGAACCAGACCUGGGUUCAAAUACUUUAGCGGAGCUUGAUUGAGUUUGCCUGGUGCAAUGGGAACCAAUAGAAUAGUCCCAAAAGUUUAGAACCCUGCCCAUCUGGCUCUCCAGGCAUGCUCAAACAAAUAUUUUGGGGAAAAAAAUGUAUUUGAAAGCAGGUUUGCUACGGUCCUGCGGUGGAGGAGGCCUUUAAAUGCUUGUGGAGCAGUGAGCGGAAGGCUGGAGCCUCUAAUGUAACAGUAGGCAGGGGAGGGAAACACCUGUUUACCAUUAGCACAGACAUUCCUCCUUUAUCUGCCUCCAUUUUGUGUGUGCUCCAAUGUAGGCUAGCUUUUAAGGCUCCAGUGAGUGGUCUGUUCGUUCAGUAGUAACUAUGCCUGGCUACAUCCUAUAGAAAUAUAACCCCAAGGCUAUAUGAGUUGUGAAACCUGAUCCAUUGUUUUUGUAGUGUGUACUUGGUCAUUCUGUCUUUGUUUUUUCCCAGAUCCCAGCUACUACAGACAGUUUGUGGUACAGCUCGGCUGAGGGUCAAGAGCUGGUCCAUGUUCUUCAGAGACUGAGUCAUUCUGCCAGGUCCCAUGCUGAUGUUGCUGUGGUUUCACUGGCAGUGGAGAUCCUGACAGGGAUUGGAUUCUAGAAUGUUGAUUCAUCAGCAACAAUGGAUUGGCUUCGAGAAGGACCAUAAUUCACAUCAGUGAUCAGCAACCUAAACCGUGUCUCCAUUAUGGUGCCUUGCUCUAUAGCUUUAUAAUAAAACUGGCAUCCAUUGUGGUUUUGCGUUCCAUUCUAAUAUCACUUUACAAUACUUUAGUUUUUUUUAAAGGAUGUACAAACAAAGGACACAUUUGCCCCCCAUGUAGCCUAAGGACCUGAAAACGAGUCAGUUCCAUAAACCACCAAGACAGAGCUGAAAUUAAGGUCCAUUUUUAUUGUUUAGCCAUGUCAUGACCAUGUCUCCAAUAAGCACAGCAGGCUACAAUAAUUAGGGAUUCUUCUCACCUCCUUGAACAGCUAUCAACUAAAAGACAUUAAAAAAAGAAACUGCUGCCCCCCCACAGACCCUUUGGAACAGUUGUGACACUACAAACAGUGCACACUUAAAGCAAGAAAAUAUUUGGACCAUUUCCAAUUCUUGGUUUUAUACAAAAGCUACACAAUGUUACACUUGAUCAGAAUACAAUUCAACUGAUUAUUAGUGUUCUACACCAUAUCAUUUUAAUUGGAGCAUUACCACUAUAACUUAUCACUACGAGAGACUUAAAAUGGAUACAAAUGAGUGCAGAAAAGACAGGAGAGUAUAAUAACAAGCUAUAUCAGUACCAUUACAGACUGAAGAAUCAUACAAAAUAAAAUGUAAAAAAAUACAGACCAGGGUUUUAAAUUCCAUCUUUAGAUCCACUCUUCAGCGUCAUUCUUUGAGUAACCCACUCCAGGAAUUCCUUUAACGCAGUUUUAACUCCCACAAAAGACCAGAACAAAGUUUUACUUCCACUCCACGUGUUCCCAUAGGAAACUCAGCUUUCAGUAGUGUGUCAGGCACUUUCUGAGAUACUAGCCCACUUUCAAAAACCUCCCAGCAACUUUCCAGCCAAAUCACAAUGCAGGUUCAUUCAGAUCAGACGAUACACCU